CCUGGUUGAUCAUGUCAGUAGUGAUAUGAUUGUAUCAAAGAUUAAGCCAUGCAUGUGUAAGUAUGAACAAAUUCAGACUGUGAAACUGCGAAUGGCUCAUUAAAUCAGUUAUAGCUUUUUUGAUGGUAUCUACUACUCGGAUAACCGUAGUAAUUCUAGAGCUAAUACGUGCAACAAACCCCGACUUCUGGAAGGGAUGAAUUUAUUAGAUAAAAGGUCAACGCGGGCUCUGCCCGUUUCUGUGAUGAUUCAUGAUAACUCGAUGGAUCGCACAGCCAUCGUGCCGACGACACAUCAUUCAAAUUUCUUCCUUAUCAACUUUCGAUAGUAGGAUAGUGGCCUACCAUGGUGGUGACGGGUGACGGAGAAUUAGGGUUUGAUUCCGGAGAGGGAGCCUGAGAAACAGGUACCAUAUCCAAGGAAUGCAGCAGGCGCACAAAUUACCCAAUUUUGACACGGCGAAGUAGUGACAAUAAAUAACAAUACCGGGCUCUAUGAGUCUGGUAAUUGGAAUGAGUACAAUCUAAAUCCCUUAACGAGGAUCCAUUGGAGGGCAUGUAUGGUGCCAGCAGUCACGGUAAUUCUAGCUCCAAUAGCGUAUAUUUAAGUUGUUGCAGUUAAAAAGCUCGUAGUUGUACUUUGGGAUGGGUCGACCAGUCCUCCUUAGGUGUGCACCAGUCGUCUCGUCCUUUAUUCCGGCGAUGCGCUUCUGGCCUUAAUUGGUCGGGUCAUGCCCCCGGCACUGUUACUUUGAAGAAAUUAGAGUGCUCAAAGCAAGCAUACGCUCUGUAUACAUUAGUAUGGGAUAACAUUAUAGGAUUUCAGUCCUAUUAUGUUGGCCUUCGAGAUAGGAGUAAUGAUUAACAGGGACAAUCAGGGGCAUUCGUAUUUCAUAGUUAGAGGUGAAAUUCUUUGAUUUAUGAAAGACGAACAACUAUGAAAGCAUUUGCCAAGGAUGUUUUCAUUAAUCAAGAACGACCAGAUACCGCCCUAGUCUCAACCACCCGGAUCUUCUGCCGUGAUGACUUAGCCAAAGACACGUGCCCUUGGGGGCCAAAGACCCCUACUGCGGGUCGGCAAGUGGACGGCGGGCGCAUGCGUCACUUCUAGAUCGGAUUCUGACUUAGAGGUAUUCAGUCAUAAUGCAGUGCACGAUAGCUUCGCGCUACUGGUUUUUCAACCAAGCGCGAUGACCAAUUAUGCGGAUCAAUGGUUCCUCUCGUACUAGGUUGAAUUACUAUUGCGACACUGUCAUCAGUAGGGUAAAACUAACCUAUCUCACGAUGGUCUAAACCCAGCUCACGUUCCCUAUUGGUGGGUGAACAAUCCAACACUUAGUGAAUUCUGCUUCACAAUGAUAGGAAGAGCCGACAUCGAAGGAUCAAAAAUCAAUGUCGCUAUGAACGCUUGGCUGCCACAAGC
rnacentral:rRNA from 1 species